rnacentral:rRNA from 1 species
GAGUUUGAUCAUGGCUCAGAUUGAACGCUGGCGGCAGGCCUAACACAUGCAAGUCGAGCGGUAGAGAGAAGCUUGCUUCUCUUGAGAGCGGCGGACGGGUGAGUAAUGCCUAGGAAUCUGCCUGGUAGUGGGGGAUAACGCUCGGAAACGGACGCUAAUACCGCAUACGUCCUACGGGAGAAAGCAGGGGACCUUCGGGCCUUGCGCUAUCAGAUGAGCCUAGGUCGGAUUAGCUAGUUGGUGAGGUAAUGGCUCACCAAGGCGACGAUCCGUAACUGGUCUGAGAGGAUGAUCAGUCACACUGGAACUGAGACACGGUCCAGACUCCUAACGGGAGGCAGCAGUGGGGAAUAUUGGACAAUGGGCGAAAGCCUGAUCCAGCCAUGCCGCGUGUGUGAAGAAGGUCUUCGGAUU